rnacentral:lncRNA from 1 species
CGGUCGCCCGCUCGCCGGUCACCCGUGUCUCCCGCCACCUUCUGCCGGCGUCUGCGCUCGGCACCCAUCAGAAGCAAGAAGACCAUGGUUCUGUCUGCUCGAUGUAGCUUCAUAAGCAGGAUGUGGUGAGCUGUCUCUGACAGAGUGAAGUCCCAGAGACGAAGCCAGGCAGACACUGGCUGGGAACCCUCAGCCUUCCCUGGCCGGCCUCUCGGGGGUUUCCUGCUUCCUGAGAGCAGCAAUGGAAAAGCCUGUGACUAGGAAAAAGAAGAACCAGGCCCCAAAGGAGGAGGCAGGUGUGCAAAAGGCCACUGUCAAAGGAGAGAAAACACCAAAGGGGAAAAAGCCAACCAAGAAGCCACGAAAGCCCCGCAGACCCCGAAAAG